rnacentral:rRNA from 1 species
UACGUAGGGGGCUAGCGUUGUCCGGAAUCAUUGGGCGUAAAGCGCGUGUAGGCGGUCCGGUAAGUCCGCUGUGAAAGUCGGGGGCUCAACCCUCGAAUGCCGGUGGAUACUGUCGGGCUAGAGUGCGGAAGAGGCGAGUGGAAUUCCUGGUGUAGCGGUGAAAUGCGCAGAUAUCAGGAGGAACACCGGUGGCGAAGGCGGAUCUCUGGGCCAGUACUGACACUGAGGAGCGAAAGCGUGGGUAGCAAACAGG